UACGUAGGUGGCAAGCGUUUGUCCGGAUUUAUUGGGUUUAAAGGGUGCGUAGGCGGUCUAUUAAGUCAGUGGUGAAAUAUGGCAGCUUAACUGUCAGGGUGCCAUUGAUACUGAUGGACUUGAGUGAGUCGAGGUUGGCGGGAAUUGACGGUGUAGCGGUGAAAUGCUUAGAUAUCGUCAAGAACACCGAUAGUGAAGACAGCUAACUAGACUUAUACUGACGCUGAGGCACGAAAGUGUGGGGAUCAAACAGG
rnacentral:rRNA from 1 species